rnacentral:tRNA from 1 species
GUCCUGAUAGCUUAAACAUAAAGCAUUAGUUUUGUAAACUAAAAAUGGAUUAAUCCUCAGGACC